GGGAGUUUAUGUCGCCAUUGUUCCUCCUGCGCUGGGAAAAACUCAAGUUCAGUGAGGAAAAGGACAAUGGUUCUCGCGACGGCAUUCCCACGGCAGCGGGGGAAGAUAUUUUAAUUUUUAAGAGCUCUCUUUCUCUCUCUCUCUCUCAUUGGUUCUGUUCUUGACUUCUUUCUCAGGCUGGCCCAGCAAAACCGGGGGGAAGAGAAACAAGUGGAUCAGAAAGCAGCGUGAAGAUAUGCAGCAUCUCGUACUGGCUUCGCUGGGCUUCGCUAAAUUGCUCGAUUGCUCCGCCUUCUCCAUCGAUGCGUGCUUGCCUUUCUUGGUGGAUGAAAGCCACCGCUUUGUCAUUGGUUUGAAUGGCGUCGUUCCUCCUCCCUCGCCCUCAUCUUCUCCAAGCAACCGCCACCCCCGCCUGCUCCCCCUCUCCUCCUUCUGCUUCUCUUCCUUUUUUUCCGGCGCUUCUCCAUCCUGACCACCACCACCACCAUCGCCUUUCCUUUUCUUCUUCAUUUUCAGCGACGUGGAGGAACUCGAAUACCAAGAAACGGCCAUCGUUAGUUCGAUUCGCGCUUGCAGGAUCCGAGCAGCCCAAUUCGCUCGAACAGCGACAGCAGGAGGCUCUCCGUCCCCUUCUCCAAGAACUCGCUGACAGUUUUGCUCUUCCUAACGAUUACUUCCAACAGCUGCCACGAGAUCUUCGGCUCGACCUGAAUGAUGCUGCAUUUGAUCUUUCACAAGGUCCUGUCAUCGAAGAGUGUGGUCAAGAGCUUGGAGAGAUGCUGUUGAAUCUCUCACGAGCAUGGGAGCUUGCAGAUACAGCUACAUCCAGCGAUAUAGUGAGCAAGCUCCCUGCCUUAGAGCGUCUCUUGACAGACAGUGUCAAAUCAGCGUUUGGAAGGCGCUUAGUAUCUGCAGGCAGGAGAUACGAGUCAAUGGGACAAUAUGGACAAGGCGAACUACAAAGGAUUGCCAAGGCAUUGUCUGCAACAGGGAAAGCGUUGUCUGCUAGUCCAGUCACUGCUGCUAAUGAAAUGCCCAAAGCUCAAAGCAGAGUACUGAAGUUUGGGGAGUUGCAAGUUGAGUUAACGCCUAAGAAAGCAUAUGUUGGUGCUGUUAUUGGUCUUGUAUUUGGGAUUCUCUCUUGGGAGUUGGGUCAAGGUGUCUUAAGCAUACAAGAGAGUUCGUUAGAGUAUGCAAAUGACAAUGCUUUAUUGCUAGCAAAGUCUUUAAGGGGGUCACUUCUGGCUCUUUGCUUCGCAUCUGCUUUCUUGUCGGCAUUUGCAUCUAUUGGACUCAUCUUACUUGGAAGACAACUUGAUUCCAAGGAUAAAUCUUAGAUGUAAGAGAUCGGCUUCAUGUUGCUUGCUCCAGUUGCUAAGUUUGGGAAGUAUGAUAAGGCUGGAGUCUACAGAAAAUUCAUCCCAUGAUGAUGUAUGUUAGGCUGCACAGCAAAUGUCUGGCAAAAAUGAGGAAAAUUAUGUAUACAUGUGUUUGGAAUCCCUACACUGAAGGAGCUUCUCUGCAUUGAAAGUCUGUGAGACCUCUUGCUGCCCGAUUGCUGAUGGAAAAUCGCAUGCGCAGGUAGACCAUGGUUUUCUUAGUUCUUUUGAUUAUGCCUGCAACUACUCAGUAGAGCAGCAUAUGGCAUGCUAGCAAGCAGCGAAUGUGAUUUAGGUCAAAUACAAUGUGUACCUCUUUAGAAUCCUUUCCCUUUUUGGUCGUCUAUAGGCAACUCUGUUUGACAGCCCUAUGGAACUCGGGAACUACCAUCCAGAUUUCAUGUAACGUGAUACAUUUUUGACGAGCACUUACCAGUCCAUGAGUCGUAGCUUGCAAUAAA